rnacentral:rRNA from 1 species
UACGGGGGGAGCAAGCGUUGUUCGGAUUUACUGGGCGUAAAGGGCGCGUAGGCGGUCAGCACAAGUCAGUUGUGAAAUCUCCGGGCUUAACUCGGAAAGGUCAACUGAUACUGUGCGACUAGAGUGCAGAAGGGGCAACUGGAAUUCUCGGUGUAGCGGUGAAAUGCGUAGAUAUCGAGAGGAACACCUGCGGCGAAGGCGGGUUGCUGGGCCGACACUGACGCUGAUGCGCGAAAGCCAGGGGAGCGAACGGG